AGAGGGAACCUAGCCAGGCUGCAAGGACAACACCGUUGUGAUCUGACAGAGCAGACAGCCCUUGUGUUCAGGCUGCUUGCAGUCCCAUGUCUGAAGGAUCGUGCUGCAAAGCAAGUCAGCUACCUGCAGGAGCACAGAGAGGAGCUUAGUGAGUCAUUCAGGAAUGAGUUGCAUUCAAGUGCAUAUCUCGUAUCUCUACCGCUUGGAACUGCAAAGAAACAACAGCUUUUCUGUGGAAACUGAAGCCAAAGGAGACAGAUGUGACAGAGGAUGGUCCUGGGCUGGUAAAAGAGGUUCUUCACCCGAAGAAAUCAUCUGACCAUGCAUCCCCGUCCGCUCUCUCUCUAAUGGAGAUAGAAUAUAUCGCAAGAGUGUUGACAACUUUUAGAAACUUUACACAUCGCUGAUUGCAAAUGAAAAGGUAAUGCAUUCUACACAUGUUCUGGCUCUUAUCUCUCCUCCAGGGGAAAGCAUUAAAGCCUCAGCCUGCCGUGGAAAAUGUAGUAUGCAGACAUCUGUGACCAGUGUGUGUAGAGAAGACAAGAUAAGGUGCAUAUCAAACCUACAUCUGUGACAGGGGUCCCAGAGUCUCUAGAGACAGAUGAAUGAAUGCAUAUGAAGACUGACUGAAAACAUUCUAAUUAAACCUUGGCUUUUCCCAGAAGUACUUGCUCUUUAGUAAAUAUUCUGUUUUGAAGGAAAAGCUUACCAAGAAGAUAUAAACCAACAUCCAAUGCUUUUUUUUUUUUUUUUUUUCCUCCUUUUUCUUCAAAGAAAUAAAUAGCCUAUUCUUGAGUAAAGAUACUGUGUAUACAGUAAUGACUCCCUGGAGAAAGUUCAGCUUGCUGGUGGAAGGUAGGAGGCAAGCUGUUACGGCUGCGGGAUGACGUUAGGAGCAUGGGCUGUGAGAGAGACCUGGAUCCUUGGAGAAUAACAAAUCCUGAGUGGUAGUGGAUAGAUAAAUUGGAGCAUAGGUAGUUCUUGGGUGAACAGCGGCCUGCCAGUCACCGUAAUAAGAUGGAAAUCAGCAAUACCAGGCAUGAGCCCACAGUGGCAGCAUAGAUGAGAUGAAUAAGGGACAGUUUCAAGGCUUCAGAGCAAGGCUCUUGAGUUUUACUGCUAUAAGUACAAUCAGCUUUGUAUGGCCAGCAAUUCACUUUACUGCUUUAGAAACUU
rnacentral:lncRNA from 7 species